UACGUAGGGUGCGAGCGUUAAUCGGAAUUACUGGGCGUAAAGCGUGCGCAGGCGGUUUUGUAAUCCAGAUGUGAAAUCCCCGGGCUUAACCUGGGAAUGGCAUUUGGGACUGCAAGGCUUGAGUGCGGCAGAGGAGACUGGAAUUCCCGGUGUAGCAGUGAAAUGCGUAGAUAUCGGGAGGAAUACCGAUGGCGAAGGCAGGUCUCUGGGCUGACACUGACGCUCAUGCACGAAAGCGUGGGGAGCAAACAGG
rnacentral:rRNA from 1 species